UCAUGCGAUCAUACCAACGUUAUUGAACAGGAUCCCAUCAAAAAUCUAUAGUUAAGCGCACUUGGGCUAGAGUAGUACUGGGAUGGGUGACCUCCCGUGAAGUCCUAGUGUUGAAUCCU
rfam:Picea glauca, whole genome shotgun sequence.